CCAGAGAGCAGUGUUUGGUCAGACCAUAGAUAAUAUAGAAGACAGCGCGCUAGCGUAUCUAGUCUAUGUAUAUCUAUGGUCGGCACGUCUGGUAGCAUCUCUGGCUGCUGUUGACCUUGUUUUUGGAGUAAAACACGGUGGAAGCUGAAUUAGUGAGGAUGACUCCUGCUCCUGUCAUCUCUAAGCUCCUCACACAUCUUUACCUGCACAUGAGGAAAAUCACUCCUGUAGAAUGCAGAUGUUCAGAGGGAGAUGAUGCCACAUCUGGUCCAGCUGAUGGAAGGUCUUGAAGUUCUCUGACUGGCCUGGACUGAAGAUGGUCGUCUCACUGGAUUUAAGGUUCAGAUGCUCAGUAACAAACUCCACCAAUGAGCCAACAGGGAAGCUUUAGGUUUAUUAAAUGUUGCUAUGAAGGUUUCGCUGUUUUUCUUUGUGAAUGCAAUGUGCUCCAACUGAAACUUGAAGUAGAACUUAGAAGUAAAUCCUUCCAUCUGAAAGGAUUUAGUUGCAUUGAUAACCUCAUAACAUUCUAAUUUUUAUUCCAGUCUUGGUUGGAAAUAGAAUCUCUGUAUUGAUUUAGGUAAAAACUGAACUUCACAGCAUGUUGAAGCAAAACAACCAGAUGAAAACUGUGAUGGUGUUGGAUUGUCAGACCGUAAUGUUGCAGCUCAAAGCAGCUUUUCUAGCUCAGUUCAUUCUGACAUUCAGCUAUGAAUCAACACAGCAGAUGGUGAUCCAUGCUGUGGAAGUCUCACAUCUCCUGAUUUAAUGGAGCUGCUUUGCACUUUUUACACUGUUUAUUCACCAACACUUUAUUUAAUAAAAGUCCCAUCUAGUUUUCAUGAGGAAUGUGAUGUUUUAAUUUCUCUGUGAAUAACUGCAGUCUAAUGCAACAGCUGGAGUUGUAACAUCUGUCCUGAUAUUGAUCAUGAAGUAUUGAUCAGAAUACUUAUGGUUAGCAGUCAUCCCUGAAGUUUUACAUUAAAAUCUUUACUUGUGUUGUGAACUUUGGUAAGAAGCAGAAACGGUAGCGUUGCCAUGGAUACAUGAGUGUUAAAUUCUGUCCAUGUUUCCAUUUUGGGAAAUUCAGUCCAGUUCCAGAAUGUGGAGGAAUUUAGUCUCGCAAUCACAGACAACAAAUAUUAUCUGAAAGUCGGGUUAUUGUUGUUUAUCAGCACAAUACAAAAAGAUUAAUGUUAGAAAUAUUCCAGUUAAGACUCUAGAAUAUCAUGAUUUAUGUAAAUUUACCUCAAUAAUAUGAAUGUUCAGGUUAAGAUUGUACAGUGAUAUUUAUUAUGUAAGUUUAGCUGAUUAAAGUUUAUGACUGCACUAAAAUAUUAUUUAAAUUGACAUCAUUAUUAUAAUAUUUAGGGUCAGACCCUACAGUAUUGAGAUUAAGAAAUCAAAUAUUCUAUAAAAUGUAAAUACACUGAACUCAUUUGGAUAUAUUUAAGUGAGACUCUACAAUAUUAUUUGACACAAAUCUAAAUCAAAAUUUUAAGAAUUUUCAUGCCAAACAUUUACUGGACUGAUUUAAAUAUUAAAAUCACUCCUUUCUAAUCCUCUGCUGUACGUUCAAACCUGAGGCCUUAAAUAGAAACACACAAGUAUCUGUUUGAAGGAACUUCUGCAGAGUCCUGGUUCCAGAACAUGAUGAUAGAAUUAUAGACAAACUUUAACAAAAGCUGCCUGAGAGUUUACAGGUUUUUAUGUUAGAUUUCUUCAGUAAUUUAAUGAGCGUUAUCAGCAAAAAUCAAGUGUUCAUUUGAUGAACUUCAUUUCCUAAAACAUCCAGAAUUGGAGCUCAUAUGUUUGGCAGCUGUAAAGUUUCUGCUCCUUCAAAGUUCACAACACAAUGAAUGAAUUCCUAAAACACUCUCAAUGCUGGAGAGCGUUUGAUGCUGAAGCAGUGACCAGUUUUUCUGUUUCUUCUCUGGAGAUGCACAAUGAGGGACGUCUGCAGAGACUGAGAAAGAGUCUCACCACAUCCUGACAUGAGGAAAAAGACUUCAUUGAAGACUACAAUGAGAAAAACUAUCAGACAGCAGACGGCUGCAUUCAAGGUGAGCUCUGAACAUUUGAUCUGGAACAGGAAUUCAAUAAUGGCAGCAUGAGCUUCAUUUCAGUCUGUAGCUGCUGAAUUCAUGGAUGAAUCAUCUGGCACUAGAGAGGAAGACCAUCAAACAUCCAUGUCAGCUGAUGGAGGUCCAAGAGUCUCACCAAACAAACAACCUACAGAGUGAAGACCUCAAAUCUGAUUGGACAGCCUCCUAUUCAGCCACAUGUGUGAACAAAUGCCUCUAAGCUGAUUUGUUUUCUAAAAUAAAUCUAGUUUGAGUCCUAAUCUAUGCCUGUGUGUUUGCUUCUUUACACUGCUGUUAACAGUUUAGGCUGUUAGAUUGUUCCAGAUAAGACAAGUACAAGAUUCUUCAGAGCCGUUCUACCACGAGCCUGACAGGAAGAACUCCAACAGCUACUGAAUGUUCCUGUGGUUCCCUCAAGGCUACAGGAGGAGCCCUAUGAGGACGAGCCGGUCCACCUGAUGGUGGCCAGUCGCUGUGGUUCAAAGCCAACACCGACUACGUGGACUUCUACUGGACCACACGGAGGCCUUCAAACCGGACCAACAAGUUCAGCGACUCCCCGACUCGUGGGUCUGAGGACGCCGCCGAGCCUCGGCCCAGCCAGCCUCCUGUCUGUGGGUGUUUGAGUGCUGAGAGGGAUUACCACAGACCUGACCGUGAACACCGUUGACACCCACCUGAGGGAGACGCUGCCUGUGAUCUCAAGGCUGCUUGGUCAUGGUCUUUCUGGUCCUGCUCCAGAACGCCUUCAUCAACUACGUCUUCUUUUGAAGAG